UAUUGAGAGACGUACAGUGGUGCCAUCUAAAAGCGUGAGGGCGUGGCGCUCGCUCCUAAGGGAGGCUUAGUCUAACUUUAACAACGGCACGGGUCGUACCUCGGUAGUACUCGAUCAAGACCACCUGCACCGUCGUGGUGAUAUGGUGGUGUGGUGGUGAUACUGCUGAUGAUGAUGCCAGUGGUGGUAGUAGUAGUAGUAGUAGUACAGUAGAGUACUACAGACUUGGUACGGUUAAGAUACGGUUGUAUAUACACGCCAAGCCACUUAAGUGUUUAACUUUCAGGGGUAGAUAUCCAUCACCCUCCGAAUAAGAUUCGAUUCCAUCUGAUCCAGCUAUCGAGUGUUUGAUUUUUAAGUUAUCGUUGUGUUGAUACUUUUGCUAUUGCUACUGCUACUGCUGUUGUAACUUUUACUGCUUUUACUGCUGCUAUACUGGUGGGUAGUAAGUGCCAAGAGGGAUAAAGGGCACUGAACAACAGAGAAAGAUGAAUAAGCUUUGAGAAUAUGAAUGAGUUGACAUAAUCCUAUGUCUCGCUGUCACAAUGAUGUCGGUUAACAAACCAGAUAACAACCAUUGUUGUCUGUUUUUACUUAAAAAUUUAACCACUCGCUGGAUACUAUUGCACCAUUUGCUGCUUAUGUUUACAAUUUCCCAAACUGACUUUCAGACACCUCUUAAAUUUACGUCUCACAUCAACAGACCUUUUAUAUUUUUUCACUGGUAACAAAACAGAAUAAAAAAAUAUAAAUAUAAAAACUCGAGUGUGUGAAAAUGAUGUACGAGUCAUGACCGGUUUCUGUGAGAUAAGAUUGAGUGAUUUGGGUAUUUUAGUAGUGUGUUGGAGGACGUCUGAGUUUACGUUGGACACCGGAGGGAAAAUCCGAUCACGCGGUGAGAUAAAUUCACAUCAAGACUUAUGCAAUGCAUCAAUUUCCAGAUAAAUUUCAAUCUCAAGUCCAUUUUAAUUUUCUGAUGAGUUGAGUCUUACAUCGCCUGGGAUUUUCUACUGAUUUGACUGCAUACCCAACUCUUGGUCUUGUAUAAACGGGCAUUUUCUACUAGUUAUACAUUAAAAGAAUAAUAAUACUGCUACUACUAUUACUCUAGCUACUGUUAUUAUAACUGACUGUAACAUUUUUUAUUAUGAUACUUGAAUCUGUAGUGUACCAUCGACACUGAAGACCCUUGUUGCUGCGCCUGAAAUACAGGGCGAAGAAGGUGAUGGCCCGUACCGUGCGCUCGCGACGAAAGAUGGCAAACACAACAGAUACUGCCACAGUAACAGGGAGCAGUCUUCUCUCAACAACAAGCUCAACGUCUUUUAUUGAUGCGACAAAUACGUCAUACCCGACAACGUCAUAUCCGACUGAGAGCUACAGUAGCUUCAACUAUAGCAGUUUAGCCAACAGUUUUGCUGUAGGGGGCUACUCUCUAGAUGACCUAAACUACACAGAGCUUUGGAUCGACGUUUGGAAUAAUACUGAAGCCACUAAUGUUACAGAGAGACUAAAUUCAACGGUACUACCAUCCGGUGGUUAUUGCGAUGAGUGGGAAGCCGCACAACACAAGCUUUUUCAGGCUGCAAAUUUAUUUUUUGCUGCGGCAUUUAUCGUACCACGAUCAUUCAAAGCCUCUGUACUGGCACUGCGAACAUUUCUGACAGCUGGAUUUAUGCUGGCAGCGCUGUGGGCAGGAAUGACUAUUUGUGCAUUAGACGCAAUGCUCUGGUCACUAGCAUUGGGAUUAUUGAACGGGGUUCAUUCUCUCAUACUCGCGUGUCGUUUUUUACCACCAGCACUGAGUCCAGAACUAGCCGAACUGUAUCUUAAGCUAUUUAAGCCUUAUCGUGUCAGUAAAAAACACUUUCAAGAGCUUGCUAAGGAAGCAAGGAUACUUAAACUUGAUCCAGGUCAGACUUACGCCACUGAGGGUGUAUCACCAGCUGACGAAAGACUUUCUAUUCUUUUACGGGGCAAUCUAAAUGUGACAUGUGAAGGUACACAUUUGCAUUACGUUAAAUCUUAUCAAUUUGUCGAUUCACCAGAAUGGGAAGCAACACAUGAAAAUAUUGAUGAUGUAUUUCAAGUAACGAUAAGAGCUGAAGAAUCGAGUACAUAUAUUUGUUGGACAAGACUGAAAUUAUUACGUGUCCUUAGGCAUCGGCCACUACUAAAAGUUGUACUUAAUACACUUAUCGGCAAGGAUAUUACCUCAAAGCUCUAUGCAUUAAAUGAACAAUUAGCUGGUUUUGUAACGACACAAGAACAGACUAACAGCAGUAAUCCUUAUCGUGGUAUGGCUCGAAGUAUGAGCGUCGAUGCUGUUAAUACUGAGACUGCGGGAAGAGUUAGAUCUACAACCUGGAAAACACAACGGAGACAUAGUAAUCCACGAAGUUCACCUCAACGUGUUUCAAAUCAAUACUGGACGCCAGUUGUUGCUAAUCAUUUUACACCAUCAUCUCCAUUUAUUUCGAUGCAACAAAACGUUGGUUAUUCAUUAAUACCACAAAGUGUUAAAUUUUCAUCACCGCCGCCACCACCGCUACCACGUCUACCUGUCGUUACACAUCCGCCAUUAAUAAGACAACGCAGUGCCGGUGGACCCGGUGGUGACUAUACAUUACUCCCACAAACGCCAAAGCUCGAACGCAAACGAUCCAAAAAAGCUACCAGAGAGGUGACCUUUGAGACACCUGUAUGACGUUCGCUUGACGGGGAGGGUCCAGCAAGUGUCCCGCUUCUAUCGUUUUCACCGAAACGCACUGGAACCUAGCCCCGUCAGCAUUUAUUAAACUAUCACAGUCAUCAAUCUAUUGUUAUUAUCAUUAUUAUUAUUACCGAUACUAUUUAUAAAAAAAAAACAAAGAUUACGUUUAAUAGUAUAUCUUUAUAUUUAUUAACACAUCUGAGAUAAAAAUAAUAAUGAUAAUAAUAAUAAUAAUAUUUAGGCAAAGUGGCCUAAAUGCAAUUAAUGAGAAAGUGAUCUUCCAUACGACGUUAAGUGACAAGUGAUUUUAAAAUAUUUAAACAAUAUAAAAAUAAUAAUAAUUAAGAACAAAAGUUACUUGUAAUUUAUUUAUUUAUAUAUUUUUUGCGGAGUUUUAAAUUAGUACAGCAUGAUAACAGCGCACUCGCGUCAUGAGAGCAGCCAAAAACGUCAAACUUUGGUAACUAUCGAUCGUGUGCCAUUGAGAAGUAAAGGAUGGAGAUUAAUUUUGGAGUGAUAGCCAAAAAAAACGUCAGUCGAUUCAUAGUGAUGAGAAAACUUUUUUAGCAGCAUCUGUAGCACAAACAUGGGCACAGUGUGCAAAAACUUGCAAUACUGUACAUGUAACGUGUUGAGGGUUGAAAAAAAUAAGUUUAAGGAGGAGUUGGGUGAAAAGGACGAAAUGGCGGGAAACGGGCGAGUGGAUCGAUGCCGAAGAAGCCGAAGCAAAACGUAACAGCUCGUGGCCAAACCCUGGAUACUUAUACCACUGUUGACCUUUACAACUAUUUAUUUAUUUUUUUAAUAUAAUUAUUAUUGUUUUUAUGCUCACUCGAAAGUACACAUAUUGCACACAAGCCCUUUAUUUUUAACUUUACGACUUUACUUGUAUUUCUCAAUAAUAAAUAUGAAUAUUUUAAUACCAAAUACCAAGAAAAAUAAAUUAAAAAAUGAGA